CCUACGGGAGGCAGCAGUGGGGAAUAUUGGGCAAUGGGCGCAAGCCUGACCCAGCAACGCCGCGUGAAGGAAGAAGGCUUUCGGGUUGUAAACUUCUUUUCUCAUGGACGAAGCAAGUGACGGUACCUGAGGAAUAAGCCACGGCUAACUACGUGCCAGCAGCCGCGGUAAUACGGAGGUGGCAAGCGUUAUCCGGAUUUACUGGGGGUAACGGGCGUGUAGGCGGGACUGCAAGUCAGAUGUGAAAACCACGGGCUCAACCUGUGGCCUGCAUUUGAAACUGUAGGUCUUGAGUACUGGAGAGGCAGGCGGAAUUCCUGGUGGAGCGGUGAAAUGCGUAGAUAUUAGGAGGAACACCGGUGGCGAAGGCGGGUUGCUGGACUGUGACUGACGUUGAGGCUCGAAGGCGUGGGGAGCAAACAGGAUUAGAUACCCGAGUAGUC
rnacentral:rRNA from 1 species